rnacentral:tRNA from 1 species
CGGGAGUAAGCUGUUGGAAAGCACACUUAGAAAUAAGCGUUUGAUGGGUUCGAAUCCCAUACUCCUGA